rnacentral:rRNA from 1 species
UACGAAGGGUGCUAGCGUUGUUCGGAAUCACUGGGCGUAAAGCGCGCGUAGGUGGCUUUUCAAGUCAGGGGUGAAAUCCCACGGCUCAACCGUGGAAUUGCCUUUGAAACUGUAAAGCUUGAGUGUCGGAGGGGAUAGCGGAAUUGCUAAUGUAGAGGUGAAAUUCGUAGAUAUUAGCAGGAACACCGGUGGCGAAGGCGGCUAUCUGGACGACAACUGACACUGAGGCGCGAAAGCGCGGGGAUCAAACAGG